rnacentral:tRNA from 2 species
GGAGGAGUGGCCGAGUGGAUUAAGGCAACGGUCUUGAAAACCGUCGAUGAGAAAUCAUCCGUGAGUUCGAAUCUCUCCUCCUCCG